rnacentral:rRNA from 1 species
GAUGAACGCUAGCUACAGGCUUAACACAUGCAAGUCGCAGGGUAACAUGAGGAAAGCUUGCUUUCCUUGAUGACGACUGGCGCACGGGUGAGUAACGCGUAUCAAACCUUCCCAUAACUACGGGAUAACCCGUUGAAAGACGGCCUAAUACCGUAUGACAUCGUUUGCUGACAUCAAAUAACGAUUAAAGGUUUAGCGGUUAUGGAUGGGGAUGCGUCUGAUUAGCUUGUUGGCGGGGUAACGGCCCACCAAGGCGACGAUCAGUAGGGGUUCUGAGAGGAAGGUCCCCCACAUUGGAACUGAGACACGGUCCAAACUACUACGGGAGGCAGCAGUGAGGAAUAUUGGUCAAUGGGCGAGAGCCUGAACCAGCCAAGUAGCGUGCAGGAUGACGGCCCUAUGGGUUGUAAACUGCUUUUAUGUGGGGAUAAAGUGCGUGACGUGUCAUGCAUUGCAGGUACCACAUGAAUAAGGACCGGCUAAUUCCGUG